GCCUGGGUGGCUCAGUCGGUUGAGCGUCUGACUUCGGCUCAGGUCAUGAUCUCACAGUUCAUGGGUUCGAGCCCCUCAUCGGGCU
rnacentral:tRNA from 1 species